rnacentral:lncRNA from 1 species
GGGGAGGCUACCAAGCAAGCCUGGGCUGGGGGAGGAAUCAAGGAGGACUUCUUGAAGGAGGUGAUGGCUGAAUCUUCAGAGAUGAGCAGGCAGUAGCAGGGUAGAGGUGAGAAAGGCAAUGGUACUAACAAAGGCACUCACGUGUGGAAUAGCAUGUGUGGUGACCAGUGUGCAUGGGUAUUUUAAUUUGGGCUAAAUGUGCCUCUUGUGAUGAGAUGAAUAAUGCCAAGCUUCUUUUGCAGGCUGAAGGCGGCACACCUGCCUAGCCUCCUUCCUUAGCAUCUCAUGGGGACUGGAAUAUAUGAUUCCUUCACCAUUGUAAUUGUGCCUUGGCUCACACUAUGGCCAACUGAAGCCCAAAGCCAGCUGAGAGGGGAGUCUGGGAACUGCAGGGUGCAUCAUCAACCCAGUGAAAUGCAGACCAGAGCAGAGGAAGGCCAGGAUCUGCACAGCUCAUUCGCUUUUUAUGGACUUACUUUCCAAGGAAGAAGGUGUGAAACUG